rnacentral:lncRNA from 1 species
CUCAGAGCUGGAUGCCAGCUGCCACUGUAAUCUCAUACAUGUUACAUCUCUCAACUGCGUAGAUGAGUUCCAAUUCUCUGUGUGCCUGUGAGGCAGCUCAGAGUGGACAUCAACCAGCAAGGGCUUCCUAAGGCUGAAUUCCUAAGGCAGAAUUCCCAACUCCCAUCCAGUUUGUUUGGCUUCAGCUUGUGUUUCUGUGCCCAGCCGGGUUGCAGCAUUGCAAGCCGGCGCGCGCUAGCAGCAGCAGCGCGAGCACUGAGGCGCCCAGCAGGAAGGCAGAGAGGCUAAGGCGCGCCUCAGAGCCCUGCAGCCGCGCAGCCUGCGGCAUUUGGUGGCCCGUACGGGGAACGUCCGAAACUUAGAGAAAAAGGCAUUAUCGUCAUAGAUGAGAGCCACAUGUGUUUUCCUGCUCCUAUCGACCUCCUUCCAGUGGAAAAGACAUUGAGGUGGAAGAUGGUGAUGUGGAUGGCCCUGACCCUGUGUGGGUCUAAGAAAGCAAACCUGACAACUUAGGAGCAGCAUUGCACCUGCCUCUGUGGAUUCACGUAGCAUCUUUCUGAGUACAUCUUGUCGUCUCUACUUAGAGAUUAUCAGCCUCUUUGGGGCAAUGACUGCAUUUCUUUCAUGCCUAUUGUCUAAUAUC